rnacentral:tRNA from 1 species
GGUUUGGUGGUCUAGUGGUAUGAUUCUCGCUUAGGGUCCACCCUACAGCUCCUGCUUGCGAGAGGUCCCGGGUUCAAUCCCCGGCCAGACCC